rnacentral:rRNA from 1 species
CCUACGGGUGGCAGCAGUGAGGAAUAUUGGUCAAUGGGCGAGAGCUUGAACCAGCCAAGUCGCGUGAGGGAGUACUGCCCUAUGGGUUGUAAACCUCUUUUGUCGGGGAGCAAAAGCCGGACGUGUCCGGCUGUGAGAGUACCCGAAGAAAAAGCAUCGGCUAACUCCGUGCCAGCAGCCGCGGUAAUACGGAGGAUCCGAGCGUUAUCCGGAUUUAUUGGGUUUAAAGGGAGCGUAGGUGGAUUGUUAAGUCAGUUGUGAAAGUUUGCGGCUCAACCGUAAAAUUGCAGUUGAAACUGGCAGUCUUGAGUACAGUAGAGGUGGGCGGAAUUCGUGGUGUAGCGGUGAAAUGCUUAGAUAUCACGAAGAACUCCGAUUGCGAAGGCAGCUCACUGGACUGCAACUGACACUGAGGCUCGAAAGUGUGGGUAUCAAACAGGAUUAGAUACCCCUGUAGUC